AAUAUAGUGCCUGAAUUUAAAGGGUAGCUUUGAUAGAGCUAAUAAUGUAGCAUCCGUUACCUAUAUUA
rnacentral:tRNA from 1 species